AUACGGAGGGUGCAAGCGUUAAUCGGAAUUACUGGGCGUAAAGCGUACGUAGGCGGUUUGAUAAGUCGGAUGUGAAAUCCCCGGGCUCAACCUGGGAAUUGCAUUCGAUACUGUCAGGCUAGAGUGUGGUAGAGGGAAGUGGAAUUUCCGGUGUAGCGGUGAAAUGCGUAGAUAUCGGAAGGAACACCAGUGGCGAAGGCGGCUUCCUGGACCAACACUGACGCUGAGGUGCGAAAGCGUGGGGAGCAAACAGGAUUAGAAACCCCAGUAGUCC
rnacentral:rRNA from 1 species